AUUGAACGCUGGCGGUAUGCUUAAGACAUGCAAGUCGAACGGUAGCAGAACUAGCUUGCUAGUUGCUGACGAGUGGCGGACGGGUGAGUAACGCGUGGGAAUCUGCCCAGUAGCGGGGGAUAGCCCGGAGAAAUCCGGAUUAAUACCGCAUACGCCCUACGGGGGAAAGGCUUCGGCCACUAUUGGAUGAGCCCGCGUUAGAUUAGCUUGUUGGUGAGGUAAAGGCUCACCAAGGCUGCGAUCUAUAGCUGGUCUGAGAGGAUGAUCAGCCACAUCGGGACUGAGACACGGCCCGGACUCCUACGGGAGGCAGCAGUCGGGAAUAUUGGACAAUGGGCGAAAGCCUGAUCCAGCAAUACCGCGUGUGUGAAGAAGGCCUGCGGGUUGUAAAGCACUUUCGCUAGGGAAGAUAAUGACGGUACCUAGAUAAGAAGCACCGGCUAACUCCG
rnacentral:rRNA from 1 species